rnacentral:rRNA from 1 species
UAAGACAGAGGGUGCAAACGUUGUUCGGAAUUACUGGGCGUAAAGCGCGUGUAGGCGGCAAGGCAGGUCGGAUGUGAAAGCCCGCGGCUCAACCGUGGAAGUGCACUCGAAACCGCCUAGCUAGAGUCUCGGAGAGGAAGGUGGAAUGCUUGGUGUAGAGGUGAAAUUCGUAGAUAUCAAGCAGAACACCUGUGGCGAAGGCGGCCUUCUGGACGAUGACUGACGCUGAGACGCGAAAGCGUGGGGAGCAAACAGGAUUAGAUACCCUGGUAGUCCACGCCAUAAACGAUGAGGACUAGACGUUGGAGGGGUAAGCCUUUCAGUGUCGUAGCUAACGCGCUAAGUCCUCCGCCUGGGGAGUACGGCCGCAAGGUUG